rnacentral:rRNA from 1 species
AUUGAACGCUGGCGGCAUGCUUUACACAUGCAAGUCGAACGGCAGCGCGGGCUUCGGCCUCGCUGCGAGUGGCCAACGGGCGAGUAAUACAUCGGAACGUGCGCAGCUACGUGGGCGAGGUGGGCGAAAGCGGGAUUAAUACCGUAUUCGACCAGACGGUGUAAGCGGGGAAUCAUCGGACCUCGCGCCAUUGGAGCGGCCGAUGACCGAUUAGCUAGUUGGCGGGGUAAAGGCCUACCAAGGCGACGAUCCGUAGCUGGUCUGAGAGGAUGACCAGCCACACUGGGACUGAGACACGGCCCAGACUCCUACGGGAGGCAGCAGUGGGGAAUUUUGGACAAUGGGCGAAAGCCUGAUCCAGCAAUGCCGCGUGUGUGAAGAAGGCCUUCGGGUUGUAAAGCACUUUUGUCGGGAAAGAAAAGCAGUGUGCCAAUACCACGGUGCGAUGACGGUACCCACAGAAUAAGCACCGGCUAACUACGUG